rnacentral:rRNA from 1 species
CAGUGGUAAAAACUCCGGUGGUAUGAGAUGGACCCGCGUCUGAUUAGCUAGUUGGUGGGGUAACGGCCUACCAAGGCGACGAUCAGUAGCCGACCUGAGAGGGUGACCGGCCACAUUGGGACUGAGACACGGCCCAAACUCCUACGGGAGGCAGCAGUGGGGAAUAUUGCACAAUGGGGGAAACCCUGAUGCAGCGACGCCGCGUGAAGGAUGAAGUAUUUCGGUAUGUAAACUUCUAUCAGCAGGGAAGAAAAUGACGGUACCUGACUAAGAAGCCCCGGCUAACUACGUGCCAGCAGCCGCGGUAAUACGUAGGGGGCAAGCGUUAUCCGGAUUUACUGGGUGUAAAGGGAGCGUAGACGGUAUGGCAAGUCUGAUGUGAAAGGCCAGGGCUCAACCCUGGGACUGCAUUGGAAACUGUCGAACUAGAGUGACGGAGAGGCAAGUGGAAUUCCUAGUGUAGCGGUGAAAUGCGUAGAUAUUAGGAGGAACACCAGUGGCGAAGGCGGCUUGCUGGACGAUGACUGACGUUGAGGCUUGAAAGCGUGGGGAGCAAACAGGAUUAGAUACCCUGGUAGUCCACGCCGU